CAGCCGCCGCGGUAAUACGUAGGGGGCGAGCGUUGUCCGGAAUUAUUGGGCGUAAAGCGCGCGCAGGCGGUCCCUUAAGUCUGAUGUGAAAGCCCACGGCUCAACCGUGGAGGGUCAUUGGAAACUGGGGGACUUGAGUGCGGAAGAGGAGAGCGGAAUUCCACGUGUAGCGGUGAAAUGCGUAGAGAUGUGGAGGAACACCAGUGGCGAAGGCGGCUCUCUGGUCUGUAACUGACGCUGAGGCGCGAAAGCGUGGGGAGCAAACAGGAUUAGAUACCCUGUUAGUCCACGCCGUAAACGAUGAGUGCUAAGUGUUAGAGGGGUUAAACCCUUUAGUGCUGUAGCUAACGCGUUAAGCACUCCGCCUGGGGAGUACGGCCGCAAGGCUGAAACUUAAAGGAAUUGGCGGG
rnacentral:rRNA from 1 species